rnacentral:rRNA from 1 species
CCGGCCGCCAGCGGCGCUCGCAAAGUUUGGAUCCGCAAGGACCGGGCCAGCGGGACGUCCGCGUGGCAGGGUGCACUUUCUCCGCGGUCGAGUGCUACGACCGGUUUCGAGGCGGUCAGAAGCCCGGCGGAAAGGUAGCGCCGCCCUUCGGGGUGUCGUGUUAUAGGCCGCCGCGGUGGACUCGCCGCGAGACCGAGGACGCUUGCCGCGCCGAGCGGUCCCGGGCCGUCUUGGGAGGUUCGACCUCGGCUGCACUGCUCCGCAGAGCACCGUAACCGCCGCCCUAGCACGGGUCCGGAGACUGCCGGCGCCUCGGGUCAGUAGCG